GAUGAAGAACGCAGCGAAAUGCGAUAAGUAAUGUGAAUUGCAGAAUUCAGUGAAUCAUCGAAUCUUUGAACGCACAUUGCGCCCCCUGGUAUUCCGGGGGGCAUGCCUGUCCGAGCGUCAUUACAACCCUCAAGCUCAGCUUGGUGUUCGGCCCCGCCGCCCCGGCGGGCCCUAAAGUCAGUGGCGGUGCCGUCCGGCUCCGAGCGUAGUAAUUCUUCUCGCUCUGGAGGUCCGGUCGUGUGCUUGCCAGCAACCCCCAAUUUUUUUCAGGUUGACCUCGGAUCAGGUAGGGAUACCCGCUGAACUUAAGCAUAUCAAUAAGCGGAGGA
rnacentral:misc_RNA from 1 species